CGCGGGAAGAGCCGGCGGAGCACACAGUCCACAGACCGCGGAGGCGUGAGGUGCAGCCGACGGGCCAGUCCGCUCGUAGGUCACCUGUCAGUCACGCCCUCUCUGUGACCUCCUCGCAUGCACUUGGACAGCGCCCUGGGUUCGCAGAGGCUGUCCGGGGCUCUGACGCGUGGAGAUCUUCGGAUCCUCAUGGAGACCCCAGCACCCCAGACAGGACAGGACACUGCCAUCCGUUCCAGCCCCAGCCUUCCCUUCAGGUCUCUCUCUGGUCACCCUCAUCCAGGCCCUGCAGCAGCUUGGGGUGGUGGCGUGAAAGACGGUCUCCAAAAGGGGCUUUCAUUCAGGCUCACCAAAGCUGGUCUUCAGAGUCCAUCAGGAGAGGAUUAGAGCCGUGUUGUGGAGGCUCGAACUUCAUGCUGUGUCUAAGGAGAGCUGCAGAGUGGUUUUCAAGAAGCAACUUGAUGACAGCAGUAUUACGGGGAGUCUCGAUGAUCAUUUGGAUAAAGUUGAAUGUGGCAUAGAGAUGGCUCCAGCAUCCCCAGACCUGGAAACUGGCAGGAGAUUGAGAGUGAACGAUUCUCCAUUUAUACAGUAACAGUCUGAAAUGUGUAUUAAUAAAUAGUAUCAAGCUUGACAUUAAUUCUGUUUCUGAAAAUUGAGUAAACU
ensembl:lncRNA